rnacentral:rRNA from 1 species
CCUACGCGAGGCAGCAGUGAGGAAUAUUGGUCAAUGGACGAGAGUCUGAACCAGCCAAGUAGCGUGAAGGAUGAAUGCCCUAUGGGUUGUACACUUCUUUUAUAUGGGAAUAAAAUGUUCCACGUGUGGGAUUUUGUAUGUACCAUAUGAAUAAGGAUCGGCUAACUCCGUGCCAGCAGCCGCGGUAAUACGGCGGAUCCGAGCGUUAUCCGGAUUUAUUGGGUUUAAAGGGAGCGUAGGGGGAUUGUUAAGUCAGUUGUGAAAGUUUGCGGCUCAACCGUAAAAUUGCAGUUGAAACUGGCAGUCUUGAGUACAGUAGAGGUGGGUGGAAUUCGUGGUGUAGCGGUGAAAUGCUUAGAUAGCACGAAGAACUCCGAUGGCGAAGGCAGCUCACUGGACUGCAACUGACACUGAGGCUCGAAAGUGUGGGUAUCAAACAGGAUUAGAUACCCUUGUAGUC